rnacentral:rRNA from 1 species
UACGGCGGGUGCAAGCGUUGUUCGGAAUCAUUGGGCGUAAAGCGCGUGUAGGCGGCUUGGCAAGUCGGUUGUGAAAGCCCGGGGCCCAACCCCGGAACUGCAUCUGAAACUGCCUGGCUAGAGUCCCGGAGAGGAAGGCAGAAUUCCCGGUGUAGGGGUGAAAUCCGUAGAUAUCGGGAGGAAUACCAGCGGCGAAGACGGCCUUCUGGACGGUGACUGACGCUGAGACGCGAAAGCGUGGGGAGCAAACAGG